GGGGCUAAUAUAUCUGACCUCCACAUAUAGUAAAAUUGGAAUGAUACAUGGCCCCUGCACAAAGACGACACGCAAAUCCGUGAAGCGUUCCAUAUUUUA
rnacentral:snRNA from 1 species